UACGGGGGGGGCAAGCGUUGUUCGGAAUUACUGGGCGUAAAGGGCUCGUAGGCGGCCAACUAAGUCGGAUGUGAAAUCCCCAAGCUUAACUUGGGAACUGCGUCUGAUACUGGAUGGCUUGAGUUUGGGAGAGGGAUGCGGAAUUCCAGGUGUAGCGGUGAAAUUCGUAGAUAUUCGGAGGAACACCAGAAGCGAAGGCGGCCAACUGGCCCGAUACUGACGCUGAGGCGCGAAAGCGUGGGGAGCAAACAGG
rnacentral:rRNA from 1 species